GGGGUGGUAGGCAAGUUGGUAAGGGCGUACAACUACCAACUUGAAAUUUGUGGGUUCGAUUCCCACCCUUUGCA